GAACCAACCGUUUGUGCGCCCCUGGCUACGCUACCAACAAGAGAGAUAAGCUGGAUCAAAAUGGCUGCGCCUCUGUUUCUCAGGGGCAUUCCGUUCCUUCCCCUACGGCUUGGCCGCCACAGCCUUGCCGCUGGAGCACGCUCGCCACUUCGGCACCCUAGAAGCUCCACGGCCGACUCGACUCGGCUGGACAAGCAUGUAUCCACUGCCGAAAAGACCAUGGCAGUGUUGAGCGCUCGGGAUCCCCCCUCGUACCAAAGGUGGGGUGAUCCUGAUUACCAGAAGUGGAAACAAAUGGAAGGAGAGAUUCUAAGAGAUAUAGAGGCCAUUACUUGCCUCGCUAAAGAAAUUCUCCACUCUGACAGAUAUUUGGAUGGAGAACAUCUAACA
rnacentral:misc_RNA from 1 species